GUAGACGCCUUGCAAUUCAAGCAGACUCUAUUAUGCGGCUGCCGCGGACACUACGUGGUUUGUUGUGCUUCAGUCUGGUUGGAUUGUAGGCCUCCGCAAAACUUCAUGACCAUCGCAACUACUG
rnacentral:pre_miRNA from 1 species